AAAUUACUCUAGAAGAGAAGGUUUGACUACACAAUUGAGGUGAUAUCUAAAGAUUUUAGAGGAAUUGUUAAAGAAAAGUUUCUUUUGGAAUAGCUUUUGGAGAUUGUGAAGAAUAGCAAGUUUUGGGAGUUUUGAUGUUGUGUUGUGAGCAGGAAAAGAAGCUUAGUGAUUUUGGGAUUGGA